AACGUAGGAGACAAACGUUAUCCGGAGUUACUGGGCGUAAAGGGCGUGUAGGCGGUUGGUUAAGUCUGGCGUGAAAGCUCUCGGCUAAACCGGGAGAGGUCGUUGGAUACUGGCCGACUAGAGGACGGUAGAGGCGUGUGGAAUUCCGGGUGUAGUGGUGAAAUGCGUAGAGAUCCGGAGGAACACCAGUGGCGAAGGCGACACGCUGGGCCGUACCUGACGCUAAAGCGCGACAGCAUGGGGAGCAAACGGG
rnacentral:rRNA from 1 species